AGCCUUUCCAAAAGAUACAAAGAUACAGCUUUCCUGUAUUGCCAGGGCUGAUGGAAACCAAGGAGCAGCCUGAUUACUCCUCCCACAGCCUCCUGGCUGAAGGAAAAUUAACCCUCAGGCUGCAGCUGUAUUUCAUCUUGAAUGACAGGAAGGGAGGGCAGAUCCCAGCCAUUUUUCAUGUCCUGCCCAACUGCUGCUUUCAGUGAUUUUUUUUUUCGUACAUGCAAUUGGAAGAUAAAUAACUGCCCCUUAUCCACCUAAGGAGAGGUGAGCUGUUACAGAAUUAUUCCUAAAUGUGUGUUGUUACCAUAUUAUCUUCAGCUUUGCAAUUUUAAAUCAGGUUUCUCAAUAUUGUUACUUUCCUUCAAGCCUCCUCUAGUGUGGGCUAGUUCGUUCCAAUUAAUUCUAAUGUUCAUUGUAGGUCAUGUUUUCUACUUCUACAGUCACUCAACUUUUUCACUUUAAUUCUAAAUAACUCACAAAAAUAUAUGAAAAAGAAGAAAUUAAUACCAAUUGAGAAUAGUACCCUAACUCCUGGUCAGCAGUGGGUAAAAUGAAAUGAUUUUGUCAGUUUCUAUUCUCAUUGUAUGUUCCUGGAUAACAUACUGAAACCCUGACAUAUCUUGGAAUUACACUUCAGAUUUACUUUGAAGCUUUAGUUUUUCAGACCUUUCCAGUAUCCAUUAGUAGAUAGACAGAACUACACAUGCUGUCUGGGUUCAUGGCUCGUGAUGUCCUUUGUAAAUGUAUUCCUCAAAGUUUCCAGAAGAAAAAGAUACCAGCUGGCUCAGAAAUACUACCAUCAUCUCACUGUGCCAGCUUGAGUAAUGCUCUUGCCAGCAAGCAGCUGGAGGAAAGGAUGAUCAGAGCGAGAUGAAGAAGAUGAGAAAAAAAGUGAAAUCAAAGUUGUUUGUCCCCUAUCACCCCAGCAGUAUCAACACUUUGAAAGGAAAGAGGGAGAGAGAAGUAGUGAAAGACCUCAGAGGACCAGGAGAAACAUCUGAUUUCUUGUCCCUUGUGGCCCUGGCAUAUGGACCCUCAUGAGUAUUGGCCUUUCUGUUCUGCUUUUCAACACGGAUUUGAAACCUCUGGGGAGUCCUUUGUUCUGAUAUGCUGCUGACACCCAGCUGUACAUGUCUUCUGCAACAGAUGUGCUCUCCAGAUGUCAUCAGGACUUAAACAGAAGUUUACAUGGAGCAGCGGCCAGCUACACUUGGCUCCAGAGGAAGAGGAAGCUGAUAAAUGAAGGCAAUGCUCUGGGAAACCUGCCCCAGUGUUGGCUUCAGCUGCUGUCACUGAGGUAGACUGGAAGGUUCUGCACAGACAAAAGAGAGGUUUCUGCACCUUUGCAAUUAGCGAGAGCUUGAACAUGUUCAGUUUGUUGGCCACUGCUAGACUAAGUCAACGCAGGCGUUGGAGGUCUCAAAUCCAUCAGCUGGUUUUACUCUGGGGCGUAAUUAUGAAUGGAACAACCCAAGCUGGCUUUGCUAUUAAAAUUGAACACAUUCCAAGGCGAGCCUUGUUUUGAAGCCUGGAUGAGCACAAAACCAAAGGACACUCACAACAAACCUAGCUUGUAUGUGGUCAGUACAAAGGUCAACACACCAGUUAGACACCUCCCUGGGCAGCACACAGCACACCUUUCAUUUUGUGUGGAGUACCAGAAGAAAUUUGUAGUGUGCAGCUGUAGAACCAUGCAGAAUGUUGCUGAUGGAAUAUUCUUGUUUGGAGAUAUUCAGGAAUGCUUACUGCCUCUUUGGAUAAUACGUUGAGAGCUGGUGAAUGAUGCUGCACAGUAAUAGAACAACUAGCAUAUGUUCUUUCUCUCAAGGCAAAAAAAGUUGGUUAUGCAUCAUUUUUUUUCUACGUCUGCCAUGCAGACUUUGGUGCUGAUAUUCCAGAUUUGUUAGGUAUUUCACUCUGUGGAGACUCGUAAUUAGCUGAGCAAGACAAUUUCCCUUGGCAAAAAAACCAAAAAACAAACAAACAAAAAAACACAGAAUGAGGUUAAUAUAUCACUUAAAUGUCACCUCUAAUUCAUUUUGAAAGUUUAAAUGGUUUGGUUUUGGAGGAGGGUUGGAGAAGGGGAAAGUAGGUCAAGUUUCUUGUCAGUUUUCUAUUAACAGGUAAAUUCGAUCAUGUCAGCAGUAAUAGAAGGAAGAUAAGAUGAAAAAAAAAACCAAAAAACCCAAACUACGCAGUCGAUACAGCUCACUGUCCAACAGUUAGGACAGUCAGCACUGGACAGAUUGAGGAUGGGUGAAACGAGAAGCUGGGUAGUCUUUUCUUCUUUCCUCUUUUGCUUUGUAAUUUCAUGUGAAAUGACCCAUGUUCCUGCUGUAUCUAAAUGCACUGAUAGUUCAAACAAAACAAAAAUACAAAUGAAGAAAAUGUGGUUCUAGCCCAGAAAUAAUUUAGUGGAGCCAUUCUGAGUUACUGCUGUGCUGUUCUAUUUUCUGUUGUUGCAGCCUCUCAGCCCACCUGGACAUUCCAGCUGCUGGACCAUUUUUUCAUGUCAGUCACCUUCAGACUCCCAUUUUAAACAGUGGGUCUUUUGUUAUCAGAAAUCAACUUCAUCUUCAAAACAGUUAUCUUUUAAAUUACUGUCAUGGAAAGGAGGCGAGGAAGAAGGUUUAUUUUCCAAAUUUUUCUCCUUGCCUUUUAUGAACAAAGACUCUGGGAGGAAAGGCAUCAUUAACACAGCAUCAAAUGAUCCAAAGAAAGAAUAACCUUUUCUCAAAGCAGGGAUGGCUAUUUGAUGAAGAAUUGGCUUAAUUUUUAGCCACCUUCUCCUUUCAGAUGAAAAGCAAUAGAAAUUCAUGUCAAAGAAACCAAUCAUGGUGAAAUCUCUGUCCAAUAGGCAGGCUGUAACAGAAAGGGAUGAUAGCACAAAGGGCUGAAAAAAGCGGCUCUUCUUUCUCUCUUCCUUUUGUUGUGAGCACAAAGAUAAGUGCGUGGCAAUCAGAUGAUUUUAAUGAACAAUCCAGUUGUUUGGCCUGGAUGGUGUAAUUCCAGAUGCAAUCUGUGGAAGUUGUUUGAAUUUGAACUGCUUCCUUUCUAAAUUUUCUCCCCUCUGGCAGCAGCCAGCCCUGAUGCAAUGGAAAUGCCUUCUCUGGAGGGUGCACAUAAAGGUGUGUGAGACAGCAGUUGCAAGAGAAAAUGGUGGGGUUUGUAUUGAAUGCUUUUUUCCUCCACACAAUUUGCAGGGGGUCUCUUCAAUCACAACGUGCUGAACUGCUCUGAUUUUGAGUAAGGAAUUCCAUCUGCACUGAGUAACAUCUGUGGUGAUUAUAGCCCUAAGCUUUAGAGCUAAAAAUGCUACGUGCAUGAAUGUAAAAACAAAAUAUGGUCUUUUUUUUUUUUUUUUAAUUACACUUAACAGCUUGUUUUGGUAAUAUGGGUAUGGCAGACAUGAUGUAGAAGUGGGAGACCACUGAGAGGAGUAAUUGAGCACAAUGGCAUAAAGAGUUUCAAUUAAUAAGUACAUAGAGAAUCUUCAAUAUUCUGUGACACUAUAUAGUAGCAAUAUGAUUGGAGAUGUCAUGAAAAAACUGUUUAUUAGCAUUAUAUUUUUUUCCCAAACACAUUGAGAGUUCUCUUAAACUUCCCUAGCAGUUCAUAGAAUCACAGAACAGCUGUGUUCAAAGGGACCUAAAAACCCAUCCAGUCCCAAGCCCUGCCAUGUGCUGGGUAACCCUCACCAGAUCAGGCUGCCCAGGCCUUGAACACCUCCAGGGAUGGGGCAUUGUAUUAGUUCCAAUACUUGUUGUAGUACUUCUUAUGAAAUGAAUUAUAUCUCCCUGGAGCUUGCAAAGAAAUUCAAAGGUACUGACUAGGCCUGGGGAAGUAAAGGAAAAAUCUUACUCAUCACUUAUCUCAUCGCAAUGUAUGGAAAUAAUAAUUAGUUGGAAAAUUAAAAUGAUUUCCCUAGUUAGUGCUUUUGUGCAGCACUUGCUGAAAAAAAGUUGUGGUUGAAGUACAGAACUGCUCAAUACAUUAGAUAUUGACAGAUAGAUGAUGUUCUCCCUUAUGAGCAGGAAAAGGGUGGAUUUUAAGGAUAAGCAAUCAUACAAUCAUUCAGAUUGGAAAAGACUACUAUGAUCAUUUGGUCCAACCAUCAACCCACCCUCAGUUACCAUGUCCCUCAGUGCCACAUCUACCCUUUUCUUGAACACCCAGAAGUGGUGACUUCAGCACUUCCCUGGGUGACCCUUUCUGAAAAGAAAUUUUUCCUAAUAUCCAACAACCUCCACUGGCACAACUUAAAGCCAUUACCUCUUUCUCCAAUGAUGUAUCUAGCAAGUUUCAGGGGAGUUAGGAAGAUGAACAACAAGGAAAGUAACAUCUUUAAAUUUGACACAGAAAAGAUGGAAGCAGUGCUUAUGGGCUGUUUAGAUCUGUGUUAGCCAUUCAGCCUUGAGCUGCUGUAUUGAGCCAGGAAGCACGGUAAGAGUCAGAGACCAAAGUAAGGUAGUAUAACUUGAGGAGGUAUGGGUGUUGCAGCCACCAGGCCAUGCAGAGAAAACAAGCUGUGCAGCAGAAUUCAGAACAGACAGAGAAAUAGAUUUUGGGAUGCAGAAGAAUCUUCUAUGCUAUGAUAGGAAAUAAAAAUAAAAGGAUUUUUCCUGUUCUUGGGUUAGUUUCUGCCUACUAACCUGUUAGCUAAAUGCACAGAGUGCUGCCUUGCCUGAUGAUCAGGAAAACCCAUUUCUAGUCACUGUUAUAGGAGC
ensembl:lncRNA